CUCGUAUUUAUUACCUUAAUCUAUCUAUAGGCAGUAGCUCUUUUGCCCCUCAUGACACAGAACAACAGGGCCCUAAAUUAACAACUGCCAGAUGAAAAUAGAAUUUGAUGCUUAUCUUAACACCCUGGCGGAACUAUUGGAACUUUGCAGGAACUGCCAUUUUGUAGGAUACUUUAUGAGACAGGAUUAGUUGAGCCACACUAUUGACAAGGUAAUAAAUAAACAAUAAAAAUUAAUACAAGUUAACAAUAAAUGAUUAUUCAUUACUAAAGGGAGAUUUUAUCAACGGUUUGUGCUUGCUCAUUUAAGUUACUUAAUUUUCCUUGCCUCCACCCACACAUAUACAUCCAUUUGUAAGUAUGAUGGUUUCAUAUUAGUUAGAUGUAUAAAUCAAAUUAAAGUAUUUACUCAGAG
rnacentral:misc_RNA from 1 species